ACCCUCCAGAUUCCUUACCCCUCAGAUCUAAACAUUGGUCUGAGUGGCUAAAAAAGGUGGGAAAGUAAAACCGAAGUCAACUUGGGAGUCUUUAAUAACAUACAAAUUCAUUCCAAACAUAA
rnacentral:snoRNA from 1 species